GUGUCAGCCGCCGCGGUAAUACGUAGGGGGCGAGCGUUGUCCGGAAUUAUUGGGCGUAAAGAGCUCGUAGGCGGUUCCUUAAGUCGGGUGUGAAAUCUCAGGGCUCAACUCUGAAACUGCACCCGAUACUGGGGAACUUGAGGCAGGUAGGGGAGAUCGGAAUUCCUGGUGUAGCGGUGAAAUGCGCAGAUAUCAGGAGGAACACCGGUGGCGAAGGCGGAUCUCUGGGCCUGUUCUGACGCUGAGGAGCGAAAGCGUGGGGAGCAAACAGGAUUAGAUACCCGAGUAGUCC
rnacentral:rRNA from 1 species